rnacentral:lncRNA from 1 species
AUGGAGCCGGUGACAGGGGCGAUGGGGAGCUUGCUCCCAAACCUGAUUUUGGAAUGCUUCGAGUUCUCUAGACUGCCAGUGUCGGUUAACUCCUUGCUUCUUCCGAACCUCACCCAUCUAGACAUGAAAGUGCAGGUUAUGCAAGAGCAGGACAUGGAAACUCUUGGGAGGCUGCCCGAGCUGCGUUGCCUUGUACUGGAUUCGCGUUACACCAAAGUGGUAAGAAUUAAGAAUACUGGCAGUGAUUGCUACUUCAAGAAGUUGAGAUUCUUCACAAUGGUCAGUUCAUCCAUCUUGUUUGAUGUGCAAGGGUGCAAAUGCGCUAUCAUGCCAAGCCUAGAAUCCAUUGCAUUUGGUGUCCAUGUGCGGUUCCUCAAAGAUGCGGACCUGCUUGAGGUGGAAGAAGCGGAGGUCAUGUUGGCGCAGGUGGCCAUCGUCCAUGCUAAUCGUCCCAUCUUCCAAACCACACGGCCAUUUGGAAAAUAUAUCAUGCUCUUACCUGACCAAGAGCCAAGCAGCACCAAUCCUAAAGUUGAUAGAUGUGAUGUCAAUCUGCAAAAGAACGACGGAGACCAUUUGGACUUCCGAUGGCUGUUGAUGAAUCCACGCGUCGAGAAAUUCUGUGUCUCCAUAAACUGCGAGAAUGCUAGUCUUAAGGAGGUUGAGGAAGCAGAGGCUGCUGCAAGAUAUGCAGUCGAUGUCCAUCCCAAUUGUCCCACUCUUGAACUGGUGAGAUAUGGUGAAGAUAAUAUGGUGCUACCCAACCCCCAGCAACAGGUGAACACCCCCCAUGUGCUUGUACAAUUUUGUUGCAUAUGUAAUUACUUUACUGCUACCUUAGCUUGUCUCUCUUGCUCUUAUUUCCAACCUACAUGCAUGAUUUAAGGGUAAUUUU